GAUGAACGCUGGCGGCGUGCCUAAUACAUGCAAGUCGAGCGAAGCGGGGACGGGUGAGUAAGACGUGGAUAACCGCCUAAAAGAAUGGGAUAACUGGGGGAAACAGGAGCUAAACCGGAUACUAAUAGAUGGAUCCGCGCUGGAUGAGCUAGUUGGUAAGGUAACGGCUUACCAAGGCAACGCUGCAUAGCCGACCUGUGAGGGUGAUCGGCCACACUGGAACUGAGACACGGUCCAGACUCCUACGGGAGGCAGCAGUAGGGAAUCGUCCGCAAUGGGCGAAAGCCUGACGGAGCCACGCCGCGUGAGUGAUGAAGGUCUUCGGAUCGUAAAACUCUGUUAUUAGGGAAGCGGUACCUAAUCAGAAAGCCACGGCUAACUACGUGCCAGCAGCCGCGGUAAUAC
rnacentral:rRNA from 1 species